rnacentral:lncRNA from 7 species
AGAAGAGUAAGAAAGAAAAGAUGGAGCUAAAGUUCACAGAGUGCUACCUCUUUGAAUGUGGCAAUGAGUGUCGGGCAGGGCCUGUGAUUUUAAAAUAUUUUGAAAGACGAUUAGAAAAUAUGCUUAAUCUACUUUUUUAGCCUUUGAAACAUUACUUCAUGAGCCCAUUUCCAAAAGUUCAUAAUCCUAUAAAAGGGAUAUAUAAUGAAGUUUUUAAAAACCCUUGAACAUCGAUUGAAGUACUUUAGGAUUCAAAGAAUCAUAUUCAUAUGUGUGCAUAAUAAAACAAGAGCCUUUAUAUUAAAACUAGUUACCUGCCAUGGCUUCUGGGCAUUUGGCUUUUGAAUUCUCCCAGCCUUCAGUCUGAUAUUUGAUACCUCUUGCAGCCAAAGCUCCUGGUGAGGAUAUGAAGGAAUUCAGGAUGACAGUUUCAGUGUCUUAUCCAAACAGACGUGUAUUGGAAAAGGACUAGAGAAAUGGUGACAGCAGAUUCAGUCUACCUGAGGAGAAAAAGAAUGCAGUGAAACUUAAAUACAACUUUUCCAUAGUGCUGACCAACGCUACAGUGCUCAGGACUAUCCUGAUAGUGAUUCCAAAUCUUCCAAGGAAGAAAAUGGAGGGGGUGAAUAUGCUAGGAAGAAUAUGAAGAAAAACUUGGAAGCAGUCAUUGCAGGCACUGCAUCUGAAUCCUGGCUUUGGUGUAGAUAAAGCCUCCAAUUUGGAAAUUCAGCAGCAACCCCUGUAUUUUUCCUCUGAAUGCUACAUAAUAUGCUGUCAGUUUGCUUCCAGGUGACUGCAAAUUCUUCCUGGUGCAGAAGGCUCACGAAAUAUUCGGUGUAUGCGCAUGAUUUAGAAGAUGGUACAACUGUGGAAAAACCUUACUGUAGGAUGUUAUGAGAGCAGCCCCCUGCAGUUCUUCUCAGAAAUGGAGUACUGCUACAUGCUGUCCUAUCUACAGCAGAAAAAGAAACCAGGAUCAGAGCCUGCUGAAGAUCAGAGCAGAAAGGAGUUGCUCCUGCCUCUUACAGUGUCAGCUUUAUCCUGAAGGACUGGAUCCAACUUGCUCCGCAGCAAGCUUGUGUCCUUUGGUACAUCUUGUUCACAGUUUUCAAUGAACGUGAACCAGCUGGUCCUUGGGACGGCUUUUCUCAACAGUACAAAACUGUGGAAAUGCCACCCUCAGCUCUACUUUCUAUCAGCACAACAGGAACACUGAAAGUAUCCGGUGUUGUAACAUGGACCCAGCAGAACACAAUGAAUUUUGCUACGAGCUUGGAUGCAAUGAAAAUCAUUUAAACACAAAUCUUGAAUUUUCCUGCAGAGCAAGAUAUGAUGCAGCCUAGGUAAAUGAUGAGAAUCAGUCCACAUUGUAAUCUGAACACAAUAUUUAUAAACAGAUGUAUAUUUU